CAGCCGCCGCGGGAAUACGUAGGGUGCAAGCGUUAAUCGGAAUUACUGGGCGUAGAGCGUGCGCAGGCGGUUUGUUAAGACAGAUGUGAAAUCCCCGGGCUCAACCUGGGAACUGCAUUUGAGACUGGCAAGCUAGAGUAUGGCAGAGGGGGGUGGAAUUCCGCGUGUAGCAGUGAAAUGCGUAGAUAUGCGGAGGAACACCGAUGGCGAAAGCAGCCCCCUGGGCCAAUACUGACGCUCAUGCACGAAAGCGUGGGGAGCAAACAGGAUUAGAUACCCCAGUAGUCCCUGUCUCUUAUAA
rnacentral:rRNA from 1 species